GGCUGCUUUCGCCGCUCGGGUGGGCGGGAGCUCGUCACCUUGGGGACGGGGGAUGCGGCUCCCCUGAGGGCAGCGCGGGGACGGGCGGGGGGGGUGAGCCGCCGUGUGGGCGUCCGGCGUCCCUCCCUUGUCACAGAAUCACAGAAUCAUCUAGGCACCUGCGGCUCUUGAUGCGCCUCAGCUCCAUUCAAGCUCCGGAGAAGAAACGAUUCAGCUUCCUGUGCUUGUAACACCAAUAGUUUGCCAGUAUUCACACCUGCUUCCCAUCUCCACCCAAAUCCGGAGCCAG